rnacentral:rRNA from 1 species
UGCAAAUCAAUAUAAAUUGAUUUAAUAUUUAUUUAUUAUAUAUAUAUAUAUAUAUAUAUUAAUGAAAUUUAAUUUAUAUUAAAAAUAAUUAUAAGAUUGUAUGUUUUAGUAAUUUUUAAUGAAAAAAUAAUUUUUAUUAUAGUUUAUUUGUAUUGUGAAAGAAUAUUGAAAUAUUUUGAAAAAUUUUUAUUUGAAAAGAAAAAUUAAUUAUUUGUACCUUGUGUAUCAGGGUUUAUUAAAUAAUUAAUAAUUAUUUAUUAAUCUCGAUUUUUUAAGAGUUAAUAAUUUAUUAAAGUUAAUGUAUUAAAAUUAUUUUAAAUAAAUUAUUAGAAAUGAAAUGUUAUUCGUUUAAAAAGGUAUCUAGUUUUUUUAGAAAUAAAUUCAAUUUAAAAAUUUUUAAUUUAUUUAUUAUUUUAUUAAUAAAUAAAUUUAUUAAUUAAAAUAUUUUAAGGGAUAAGCUUUAAAAUAAAAUAUUAUAAAUUGAUAAAUUAAUUAUUUAAAAUAUAUGUUUAGAAUUAGCAAUUAUUAUUAAUUUUGUUAUAAAUUAUUUUAUAUUUAUAUUAUUUAUUAAUAUUUUAAUUUUUUAUAAAAUUAUUUUUUUUAAUUUAAUUUUGAGAAGUAAUAAUGAUAAAAUUAGUAUAUAUUUAUGUUUUAGUAAUUUUGAAUGAUAAGUUUAUAUAAAGAACUCGGCAAAUAUUUUACUCGCCUGUUUAACAAAAACAUGUCUUUUUGAGUUAUUUUUAAAGUCUAACCUGCCCAAUGAAUUUUUAAAUGGCCGCAGUAUUUUAACUGUGCAAAGGUAGCAUAANCAUUAGUCUUUUAAUUGAAGGCUUGUAUGAAUGGUUGGACGAAGUAUAANCUGUUUCAUAUAAAUUUAUUAUAGAAUUUUAUAUUUUAGUAAAAAAGCUAAAAUUUUAUUAAAAGACGAGAAGACCCUAUAAAUCUUUAUAAUUUUAUUUUAUUUUAAUUUUUUAGAUUUUUUUUAUUUUGAUUUAAAAAAUUAUUUUGUUGGGGUGAUAUUAAAAUUUAAAAAACUUUUAAUUUUUUUUUUCAUUAAUUUAUGAUUUAUUGAUCUAUUAUUAAUGAUUAUAAGAAUAAGUUACUUUAGGGAUAACAGCGUAAUUUUUUUGGAGAGUUCUUAUUGAUAAAAAAGUUUGCGACCUCGAUGUUGGAUUAAGAAUAAUUUUAGGUGUAGUUGUUUAAAAUAAUAAGUCUGUUCGACUUU